AUACGGAGGGGGCUAGCGUUGUUCGGAAUUACUGGGCGUAAAGCGCGCGUAGGCGGCACGCAUAGUCAGAGGUGAAAGGCCUGGGCUCAACCUGGGAACUGCCUUUGAUACUGGCGAGCUUGAGUCCGGGAGAGGGUAGCGGAAUUCCCAGUGUAGAGGUGAAAUUCGUAGAUAUUGGGAAGAACACCGGUUGCGAAGGCGGCUACCUGGCCCGGUACUGACGCUGAGGUGCGAAAGCGUGGGGAGCAAACAGGAUUAGAAACCCCUGUAGUCC
rnacentral:rRNA from 1 species